GGGGUUGUGGCUCAGUAGUAGAGUGUGCAUCUUGCACAUGUGAGGUACUGGGUUCGAUCCUCAACACCA
rnacentral:tRNA from 1 species